CAAAGGGUGGUCAGUCUGGGAUGAGGGAGCUGGUGUGUGAACUAAGGUCUGAAUGGUACAGAAGAGGUAACUCCUAGGUGGAGAAGCUAAGGUUGGCUUGUCCAGGCUCCUUAAUUAACUGAAGAGAACAGAGAGGAGCCGUAUCUUACCCAUGGUUUGCACAGCCUCUAGAAUUCUGUUCUUUGACCUCCCAAGCUGGUCCUGGUAUCCGGAUCUCCAUCUUCUGAUAGCUGUGAGCUUGCUCCACGGCAGCCAGCCCUGCAGAGAUAUGAGAGGCAGGGCAGAGACAGAGAGCAAAGUGGCUGAGUGGGCCUUGUCAUUAGUUGCUGAACGCAGUAAACCCAGUGGACUCCCAGCCUUAUAAUGACCUCGUGUAAUUAAUGCUAAAGGACGGUUUGGGGAACACUGCAGAAGACUGUGGUGGCAAUGGGAGUGGAGGCAUAAGAACUGGGAAGGAUGGGCUAUCCUCGGACAUGACAAGUUCCUUGCAUUCAGGAUUGCUGAACUGUGAUUGUCUGCACAAGGCUCACACAAGAACAGGCCUGUCAGCAUCCUGUCAUGAGGGAGAUAGGCUCACAAGGCCGCUCCAGUCACUGAAGAUCUAUAAUCAGUUAAUCCUUGCUGGAGGAGGGAGAGACCUCAACGAAGAAGGGAGACUGUGUGAGAAACCAAGACUGAGCAUCAUAGAAUGGAGUCCUUAGAAAUAUAGACUAGAUUCUGGAGGCUCUGGAGUGUUGGCCCAAGG
rnacentral:lncRNA from 1 species